UUCGUUAGAAUUUUUUUAUUAAGUACAUCAAAAUUUCACCUUACAUUUGAAAUUGCAUAGAAAUUUAAAGUGCUAAAGCAAUCAUUGUUUUUUCAAAAAAAUGAAUUUGAAGCCAAAGAGUGGAGAGUGUGGGGAUCCACUGGGUAGGACAUUUGAGAUGUAUGCAAUGUAGGAAUCUUAUUUGAAUCCUGACUUGAAUUGGAAAAAAAAAAAAAAAGGCACAACUUGAACACUGCUGGGUAGUUAUUAACACUAACAAACUGUUAACAGUUAAGUCUAACAACAGAAUUGUGGUUUUAUUUAACAGUCCUUAUCUUUUAGACAUACAUAUUGAAAUAUUUACAAAUGAAAUGAUUUGCUAUCUGGGAUUUGCUUCAAAAUAAAUAGGGGUUCAAAGAUGAAUGGCAUUUAGAUAAAUCAAGAUUGGCCAUGGAUUGAUCAUGUUAACAUGAGUUCAUUAUGCAAUUGUCCUUUUACAUAUACCUGACAUACGCCAUUAAUUUUUUAAAAAGCACUCACUCCGAUGUCUCCUAUGUAUAAGAACACAGGCAGCUGGCAGCAACUAAAUGGUAUCAACUAAAUUUUUAUAAAUUCCAAGAGUCGUUAAUUCUCAGCUAUCUCAAAAGUAAAAUCUCUGGGAAACUUAAUAUUAAGACAGUAACUAUCUGCACACAGUAAUCUGUACAAAGUUUAAUUACCACCACCAGUCAGUCAUAGGCUAGUCGAGUAGCUGUAUCAACCUUGGUACAAACAAUAACAGAGCCAAAGCACCAGCCAUCAGCACCACUCUUCGCUGACACAUUUCUUCUCUUGGACUGCACAACUCUUAAGUUUACUAAAAACAAUUAAUUGUACAUGUACAAUGGGUGAAUUUUACAGUGUGUAAAUUAUACAAAGCAAUUUUUUAAGUACCAUUGUAACAAAGUCUUACAAAUCACUAUUUUAAAGCUCUGGUUCAUAGUUCGUUCAUUUGAUAUAUUCAACACAACGAAGUCUAAUAUACUAUUAGGAUUAAGAACAUUAGCAUUUGCUUGAAAACUAAACACGCUGCUUUCAAAGGAUUCCAAGUACACCCAUCUCUAAAUCUUACUGAUUAAAUAUUGCUCUUUUAGCUAUAAGUCAUGUAAUUAUGUGACAAAAUCACUGUUAACGAUUUAAUUAGCAUUGUCCCUUAGCCAUUUCAUUAAUUGGUCUUCCCCCAACCUUAUGCCCUAUA
rnacentral:lncRNA from 10 species